UACGAAGGGGGCUAGCGUUGCUCGGAAUCACUGGGCGUAAAGCGCACGUAGGCGGCAUCUUAAGUCAGGGGUGAAAUCCUGGAGCUCAACUCCAGAACUGCCUUUGAUACUGAAGAUCUUGAGUUCGGGAGAGGUGAGUGGAACUGCGAGUGUAGAGGUGAAAUUCGUAGAUAUUCGCAAGAACACCAGUGGCGAAGGCGGCUCACUGGCCCGAUACUGACGCUGAUGCACGAAAGCGUGGGGAGCAAACAGG
rnacentral:rRNA from 1 species